rnacentral:rRNA from 1 species
AGAGUUUGAUCAUGGCUCAGAACGAACGCUGGCGGCGUGCUUAACACAUGCAAGUCGAGUGCGCGUACCGUAGCAAUACGGUAUGGCGCACGGCGCACGGGUGCGUAACACGUGGGCAAUCUGCCCUUCGAUGGGGAAUAACUCGCCGAAAGGCGAGCUAAUUCCGCAUAACAUUCCUUGGACUGCGGUUCGAGGACUCAAAGCCGUAAGGCGUCGAAGGAGGAGCCCGCGCCCGAUUAGCUAGUUGGUGAGGUAACGGCUCACCAAGGCAAUGAUCGGUAGCUGGUCUGAGAGGAUGGCCAGCCACACUGGAACUGAGACACGGUCCAGACUCCUACGGGAGGCAGCAGUGGGGAAUCUUGCGCAAUGGGCGAAAGCCUGACGCAGCGACGCCGCGUGGGGGAUGAAGCAUUUCGAUGUGUAAACCCCUUUCGACUGGGACGAAUGCCUCGCAAGAGGAGUGACGGUACCAGUAGAAGAAGCCCCGGCUAACUACGUGCCAGCAGCCGCGGUAAGACGUAGGGGGCCAGCGUUGUUCGGAAUUACUGGGUGUAAAGGGUUCGUAGGCGGUGCGGCAAGUUGGGAGUGAAAUCUCUGGGCUUAACCCAGAGGCUGCUUCCAAAACUGCUGUGCUUGAGUGUGGGAGAGGCGCGUGGAAUUGCAGGUGUAGCGGUGAAAUGCGUAGAUAUCUGCAGGAACACCCGUGGCGAAAGCGGCGCGCUGGACCACAACUGACGCUGAGGAACGAAAGCUAGGGGAGCAAACAGGAUUAGAUACCCUAGUAGUCC